CAAGCCGCCGGACGGCCCCCCACCCUGCCGCCGAGGUGCCGGACGGGCGGCGGUGACCGGCGGGUGGCUUCGGCGAGCGUCCGCAUUGGUGCGGCAGGAGUAGCGCGGGCUUCCGGCUCCGAACCGAGACGCGGAUUCGACGGGAGGGCUCUGCGGCAGGGAUGGAGGGAGGGAGGCUUCAGCGAGCGUCCUCGUCAGCAGCGGCAGUGUCCACGCGGUUCCUGCCGGACUCGCGCUCCCGUAGCUGCGGGCUUCCGGCGCCGAGGCUCCGUCCCGCGGACUCGGCGGGAGAGGUCCGUGCGGCGCGGCGACCGUGGCGAACGCCGGUGCUGGUGAAUUCGAACCGGUUCGUUGCGACGGCCGGGAGUCUGCUCGGCGGCGGCUGGUCGCCGGCCCACGUUUGGAUCGGGGGAGCGGAUCGAGCCGCGCCAACACAAGGGGAUCCAUUCCACGCCCACCACAGGAAAUGAGAUGAUUUGGUGUUGGUGGUAACGUGAAGGAGACAAUUUGAGUUGUUGAAGCCUACACAUUCUUUUUAAAACCAACAAGUACUACAGCGAGGUGUGCCAGGCGGUCACCUGUAUGCACAGAAAUUUUGAAGACUUCUGUUGGAACUAAAAAUUGGAGUUGCUACACAAGGUGAAAUUCGGAACCCACCUGCUGGAAACGAGGUGAUCUGGCGUUUUUGGUAACAUACAGGAGUAGGAAUCAUCACAGACUGGCCAGUUGGGGCCUACCCUUAAUAGAAAAUUAACAAGGUGAGCACAAACUGGUCCCGGCUCAUUCGAGAAGAAAUCUGGAGCCUACACAGUACACUCUCAUUCGCCACUGUGUUAACUUGUUGCAAUGUCAGAGUGGUGAUUUUUUUGUUUGUUCAGUUGGAGCAUAUCAAUAGUCACAUGUUCACCUAGAAGAAUACAUUUAUGUUAUGAGGGCCUGAGGGGCAUGAGGAGACAAGGAGCGAAUGAUGAGUUUUGAGGUUCUAAACAUUGUGAUGAGUUUCUAGCUGGAUGGUCAAGGUGGUUUGGUUUGGCCUAUUUACCUCCGGGCCCAGGAAAAUGCAUACCAUCCGGCAUCUUACCUGGCCUGAAGCUCUGGCGAUAUAUUGCUGUCGAAACAUAGUUGCAGAGAAAGAAGGAUAUGGACUCAGUUGGCAAUUAAGAAUUUUUAUUUCUUCGCUUCGUCGGAAGCUUCUCCAAAAUCGAUGCUACUGCUCCUAUUUUAUCAUUCGACUAUCGAAGGUUGACUGACAAACAUGUGGCUCCUGUUGGUUUUCCGAAAAGUAAAAUGAGGCACAUGAAGCUAAGCGGAUCAAACGCCAUGUCCUGGACAAGUUAUGAUCUCUGCUGCUUGAGAACAAUGGUUGUUCGGUGACGGUGGCAGCAAAAGAGAGCUAACAAUGCGAUGAGUGAACUUCUAUUUCCCACGGGUUAGAAAUGCGGGCUUCUGGCACUAAGUCUCUGUCGUGCGAACCGCGGUGACCCUGGCCGAGAGGGAGGGCUCCAUGUGGUGUGGAGACUAGCGGUCAACGCCGGCGCUGAUGAAUUUGAAUCAGUUCGUAGUGACGCCGCCGAGUCUGCUCAGUGGCAGCUAGUCAUCAGCUCAUGAUUGGAUCGGCAGCGCGUAUCGACCACAGAAUUGGGAGAUACUCAUUCCCCACCCAGCACAGGAAACGAAGUAAUCAACAGGGUGAUUAGCUUGGCUGGUUGGAGGGCAAGGAACCCUCGCAGAUUGGCUGGUUUGGAGGGCAAGUUUUCCUUUGAAGUCAAAAAGGUGAG